GACGUAGGGCGCGAGCGUUGUCCGGAUUUAUUGGGCGUAAAGAGCUCGUAGGCGGCUCGUUGCGUCGGCUGUGAAAACCCGCAGCUCAACUGUGGGCUUGCAGCCGAUACGGGCGGGCUGGAGUUCGGUAGGGGAGACUGGAAUUCCUGGUGUAGCGGUGAAAUGCGCAGAUAUCAGGAGGAACACCGAUGGCGAAGGCAGGUCUCUGGGCCACUACUGACGCUGAGAAGCGAAAGCAUGGGGAGCGAACAGG
rnacentral:rRNA from 1 species